GACAGAAAGAGAGAGGGAGGCAGAGACACCGGCAGAGGGAGAAGCAGGCUCCCUGCAGGGAGCCCAGUACGGGACUCCAUCCCGAGACCCCGGGGUCACACCCUGAGCCGAGGGCAGACGCCACCCAUUGAGGCACCCAGGCGUCCCGAACUGACAGUAUUUAAAUCAAAACCAUACACUCCCCCCACAACACAAGGACAAAGGCAAAGCAGGGAAGCAGCGGCCACCAGCAGUUCAAAAGCCUUGGGGAUCCUAACAGUACCUGGGGAGGAUCCUCCCGUCAGUCGCACCCGCGUGUCCGUUCCCACCGCUCACCGCUCGCUGGAUCGAAGUCGUAGCCAAUCAUCCUUCCGGAAUCCAGGCUGCCCCGGAGCACGUGACCGGCCUCCGACGGCGGCGGGGGCGCCCGGGGUCGGCCACAGAGCAGGCCGCGCCGCCUCCCGGGGUCAGGAGUUCAGGCCCUACGGGGCGGGCCGGGAUUGCUUUAAAAAGGAAAAAAAGGGGGGGGGCGGGGCUUACUGCCUUUUCUCGGCACCACGCAAAUCACAGUGGUUCUAUCAAAAUGAAAAUCCCCCAUUUUGCCCGAAAGGCGUCGGUUCCCAAAAGCCAUUCUCUGACUUCCCGGCUCGGGACCCCGAGGUGCCCCCGAUGCCUCCCCUACCGAGCUCUUCCCUCCGGGCAGCGCCCCGGGUCAGCCGGGGUCGCGGUGGGGGGGCAGAUGCGGCCUGUCACGGCCGAGGCGCCACGCGGUCCCUCAGGGCGGCCGCUCCGACUCCUGCUGGCCGCAGCCCGGGGGCGCCCCAGGAAGGCGUGACUGCGCGGCGGAGACCAACCCGCCCCUCACCCGACCACACUGCUCCUACCGACACACACACUCACGUGCCGCCCACGGUCGACGGCGGCAACGGCGGGNNNNNNNNNNNNNNNNNNNNNNNNNNNNNNNNNNNNNNNNNNNNNNNNNNNNNNNNNNNNNNNNNNNNNNNNNNNNNNNCGGGCGCGCUUCCGGCAGGAGCCUCCCGACGCGGAAGGCCUGGGCUCUGGGGGCGCGCGUCGUCUGCGCCAGGCCUUGCAGUCGGCAGUUGCCGCGACCGCCGGGCAGACGCUUCCGCUUCCGGUUCCGGCCCGGCGGGCCCAGGUCCAGUGCGAGGUGGUCGCGCUGACCCGCUGGGUGCAUGUCGAGCGCCCGUCGCCAGCGCUGCCACCGCAGCGACCCGGAGAUCUGUGACGUAGGAGUCCACGGGGAGCCAGGCCCGGCGGCCGGCACGUGACCCGCGAGCGGAGGCCCCGAGCCCGGCAGCGUCCCCUGCGAACUUGGACGCGGAGCCCGAGACUGGGACUGUGGGCCCGGAGUCUUCCACCGAGGUGAGGUGCGGUGGGGCCGACACGCAGUCCAAGGCCUGAGAAGCUACUUCCUCAAGGGCAAGGUUUCCUGGAAGGUCUUAAGUGGAAGAUAAAAGGGUCAUUCCCAGCAUAGCAGUGGGAAGGACCACCUUAGGGCGCCCGGGUGGCUCAGCGGGUGAGCGCCUGCCUCUGGCCCAGGGUGUGACCCCGGGGUCCCCGCUUGGAGCCUGCUUCUCCCUCUGCCUGUGUGUUGUGAAGAAACAAAAUCUUAAAAAAAAAAAAAAAAAAAAACCAGCUUCUUUACCUACAGUUAGGGGAUCGACUGGAAGCACCGUCAUGUUUCAGAGUAGAAAACCGGCUACAGUGGGGAGAGAAAUGGGCAGUUUAAGGAGGGUGGUGUUGUGUUAACUUGAUUGUUUGUCAAUGGCUUUAUUCUGAAACGUGGAGAAGACUGACCUGUGUGUAUGCAUUUGGGGAAAGAGGGGGCACAACGAUAGCUGGAGGUAGUUCCUAUUAUGUUCCUUGCACCUCGCUGAGUCCUUUUUAUGUACAUACCUUUUAACAAGUUUUAUUUUUCUGAAGAUUUUAUUUAUUCAUGAGAGACACAGGCAGAGGGAGAAGCAGGAUCAGGCCCUGGGCUGAAGGUGGCACUAAACUGCUGAGCCAUCCAGGCUGCCAAAGAGUUUUAUAUUUUUCUCUUGACUUCUGUUUUCCCAUCAUGCUUUGCUGUUGACUGUCUCAUUGGGUAAGAGUCUGUAAAAAGCACCCAUUUUGAACAUAUUAAGCAAGAAUUGGAAGUCAUGGAAACCUUAGUAGCUAUAACACUUAGUUUGGGCAAGGAGGAAGAGUCACCUGGAAGAGACUGUAUGCUGUAUUUUGUGUAGUUCUGUAUUAUUGGCAUUUACUACAAGUUGAAUAUAUUUUAACAUUAAAAAGUGUAUUUUAAAAUUCUGAAACUCGGGAUCCCUGGGUGGCGCAGUGGUUUGGCGCCUGCCUUUGGCCCAGGGCGCGAUCCUGGAGACCCGGGAUCGAGUCCCAUAUCGGGCUCCCAGUGCAUGGAGCCUGCUUCUCCCUCCGCCUGUGUCUCUGCCUCUCUCUCUCUCUCUGUGACUAUCAUAAAUAAAUUAAAAAAAAGAAAAAU
ensembl:lncRNA